GUGCAUCGGUGGCUGCUGUGGGGCGCCCCCUACGGGCCUGCUCAUGCAGACUCUUUGUGGCUUGAUUUUCACCCUUUACACUCCACCACCCUGCUGACU